UAAUAUUGGACAAUGGGGGCAACCCUGAUCCAGCUAUGCCGCGAGUGUGAAUAAGGUCAUCGGAUGGUAAAGCACUUUAAGUUGGAAGGAAGGGCGGUAGGCUAAUACCCUGAAGUUUUGACGGUACCAACAGAAUAAGCACCGGCUAACUCUGGGCCAGCAGCCGCGGUAUACAGAGGGUGAAAGCGUUAAUCGUAAUUACUGGGCGUAAAGCGCGCGUAGGUAGUUCAGUAAGAUGGAUGUGAAAUCCCCGGGCUUAACCUGGGAAUUGCUUUCAUAACUGCUGAGCUAGAGUACGGUAGAGGGUAGUGGAAUUUCCUGUGUAGCGGUGAAAUGCGUAGAUAUAGGAAGGAACACCAGUGGCGAAGGCGACCACCUGGGCUAAUACUGACACUGAGGCACGAAAGCGUGGGGAGCGAACA
rnacentral:rRNA from 1 species